AGAAGAAGAAGAAGAAGAAGAAGAAGAAGAAGAGGCAGAGGCAGCAAGUCAAUCAAUCAAUCACUCAAUCAAUCGAUCAAUCAAAUCAAAUUGUGAGAAAAUGCAGACUUUCAGCAGACGGGCUCUGGACCGGAUCUACUCUGUGGUGACGUUACAUUCAGCUUCCUGCUGAAACAUCGUUUUCUCUAACCGGAAACGUGCUCGGUCUAGCUAACCGCUAACGGUUAGCUAGCUGGCUUUAGCAAAAGUUUGCCGGUUUUGUAGUUAAUAUGAAUAAAAUAAAAGAACUCGAAGUAAAAUGAGUUGAGUCGAGUUAAAAAAAAGUUUCCGUGUUGGACGACGUGAUGAAUGGCAUUAGUUAGUUCGUGGUGGAGAGAAUAGCUAGCUACGUGCUGAGCUAAUCAUAGCAGACAGUAUUAGAGAGAGACUUUCAUAACGGACCUUCGGGGCUGCACAUCUUUGCCGUUAUGGGCUUAUUUAUCAAGAAAGUUGAUAUCAGUAUUGAUUGCUGUAAAAGACAGUUGAAGUUUGUAGCUCACACUGGGAGAAAAACGUAUUUUUAGCUCUUGAAAAGGAAGUUGUAAAGGUCUUCCACCCUCCUCAUCACAUGCUGUGGGUGUGUACCUGCGUACACAGGUAAAUCCGUCUGUCAGGUGCUCCCAGAGGCCUUCGUGUCCAUGUCAGACUAGUUGAUUAGCCCACUGAAAACACUCUUUAGCCUGUCAAAGCAGCAUUCAUGUCAUAGAGGAGCUGCUGCAGUUACCAGCCCGGCACUGCUCACCUGGAGGCAUCUCCAGAAAACAUGAUCCCUACCAGUGACUGGUGCUGUGAUGGAAACUUUUUCCACUCGGUGUCUUUUUCUAAAUGGAUAAAUAUAAUAAAGUCUGAAUCAGUAUCGUCCAGUCUGGUCCAAGAUCUCACUUUAAAGUUCUUAAAGCUGCAUUUGCACAAAUUACAACAAAAGCACGUUCUUAUGCCCUCGUCUAUUUCUCUCUGUCUCUCAGGUCUUGCUGGCUGUUGUGGUCUUGUCCUGGUCUUAUGUAAUCUACGCCAGCAGGAUCGCAUCUCAUUGGCUGCUGGAAAAGAGGACCGCCCUCCUCCAGCAAGACUGACAGCACAUUGGAGCGCCGAUGGGGGCCGACGGACUGUUCAAACCUUCCCGGGGUUCGGCUGUCUUGUGCUCUGAGAGCCACGUAGAGCCCGGAGCCGCUGAACCACGUCAGGAGUGGACCGAACCUGCCGGACCUCCAAAAGCUUCCCGCCAGCCAGCGUUCAGUGGAAACGAUGGGACCCCAAGUGUGUCUGCACCGGGGGAGGCCUGAGAUGUGACGCUCCGUCGGUGGAAAGGAUUUCUGGGUCCGGUAUCUGCCCUCAGUCUUUCUCUCGGUGCAGAUGAAGAUGAGAAGUUUCUGGGUUUUGAACUCAGCGAUGUGUGGCGGUCUGUGAGGCUCUACAGCCGCUCUGGGUUCAUAGUUAACAUCUUAUCUGCGCGUAAUAAACGCCUGAGAAGCCUGCGUGUUAUCUGUUGACUCUGAAUUCAUUAAUGAAACUGUUGGUCAACAGAAGAUGAAUCAGCAGCUGUUCGAUUCCUCCAUGAACGCUUGUGGCCGUUUUGGAAGGAAAACCUGUUUCAGCUUCUCGCCGGUGAACAUUUCAGUGUUUCUGUCUCUGUGGAAUCAAACAGAUCGUUUUGGGUUUGUGCUGCAGUUUGAACACGUCACACAAGUUCUGGGAAAAUCUUUGUCACUUCGUUUUAUUUAUUUUUAUAUCUGUGUUUCAUUCUGAUCAUUUUAUCACUUUGAUAUUAAAGAGGUUUUUUUCAUUUCAUCAGAGUCCAAACACUUUAUUAUCCUGUGUGUGUGUGUGUGUGUGCGCGCGCGCGCGUGUGUGCGUGUGUCUGAUGUAUUCAGUAACUAAAAGCCCUCAAACACACACACAGCUGUGUUUGAUGAUGAGGAGACACUUUGAUGUGUGUGUGUGUGUCCUCAGAUAUGUAAAUGUUGUCAACAGAAUGGGUGGAUGAGAGAGGGCGAGCGAGCUGAACCGUGAAUGAGGGAUGGAGAGAGAGAGAGACUCUUUAGAAGAGAUCCAGCCGAGAUGAUUUCUGUCAUCAAACAAUUCCCAUCAAUACUUUAACAGUAAUGUUGUGAGCUAACAGCUAAAAGUCAGUUCAGCACAGACCGGAUACAGACCCUCGGCAGACCCUCGGCAGAUACAGACGCUCUAAUUAAAGACGCUGUGGAGGCCUGGAGCAGCCAGAUGUUCUCAAUGUUUGUGUUGGUCAGUGGAUUUUUUAGAUGACAUCUCACCACGACUGGAUGAAGUUCAGAUCCCUCUGAAUGAAAACUCAAACACCCUCCGAGUGUCUGAUAUUCAGAAGACGAGUCCACAGCCAGGCUGGACACAGCGUUGGUGACAUUCACAAGUUCGCGUCUGACUGGAAGAAACUUCUGUUACAUGAACAGCGACUACAAACACCAGAGACGCUUUUCGACUUGUAUAAAUGUCAAACAGCCAAAGUCACAUUGUACGGAGCCCCUAAAGCAGUGGCCCCCAACCUUUUCUGUACCAUGGCCCGGUUUAAUGU